AUUGAACGCUGGCGGCAGGCCUAACACAUGCAAGUCGAGCGGAUGAAGGGAGCUUGCUCCUGGAUUCAGCGGCGGACGGGUGAGUAAUGCCUAGGAAUCUGCCUGGUAGUGGGGGAUAACGUCCGGAAACGGGCGCUAAUACCGCAUACGUCCGGAGGGAGAAAGUGGGGGAUCUUCGGACCUCACGCUAUCAGAUGAGCCUAGGUCGGAUUCGCUAGUUGGUGGGGUAAAGGCCUACCAAGGCGACGCUCCGUAACUGGUCUGAGAGGAUGAUCAGUCACACUGGAACUGAGACACGGUCCAGCCUCCUGCGGGAGGCAGCAGUGGGGAAUAUUGGACAAUGGGCGAAAGCCUGAUCCAGCCAUGCCGCGUGUGUGAAGAAGGUCUUCGGAUUGUAAAGCACUUUAAGUUGGGAGGAAGGGCAGUAAGUUAAUACCUUGCUGUUUUGACGUUACCAACAGAAUAAGCACCGGCUCACUUCGUG
rnacentral:rRNA from 1 species